GGCACAUCCAGAGAGAUCAGGCUUUGAUGGUCCAUGGACAAAGGAGCCACUGAAAUUUGACAAUUCAUAUUUUGUGGAGCUGCUUAAGGGGGAAAGCGAGGGAUUACUGAAACUUCCCACAGACAUUGUUUUAUUGGAUGAUCCUGAGUUCAGACAUUAUGUUGAGCUGUAUGCUAAGGAUGAAGAUGCCUUCUUUAGGGAUUACGCCAUAUCACACAAGAAGCUGUCUGAGCUAGGGUUUACCCCAAGUUCUGGUUCCAAGGCUACGGUGAGGGAUGGUACUAUUUUAGCACAGAGUGCUGUAGGUGUUGUUGUGGCUGCUGCAGUGGUGGCACUGAGUUAUUGGUAUGAAGUGCGGAAAAGGAUGAAGUAAAUUGCAGCAGGACUGGUUGCAUUCUUACUUGCAUAUUAUUCACCAAUCUCGUACCCGUUAUUGAUUAAGCGUACCUAUUCUCUUCCCCCAAAUAAAAACAUGUAAUGUCGACUAUACAAAAAUAUAGUAACGAAUUGGUUGUACCCGUGUUUAUAUUUGAUACCCAUACUUUUGGAAGGGUUUUGAUUUCUAUCUGCGUUGGCUAUCGUAUCAGAUGAUUUUUGCGUUAGGAAUUUGACAUAGAAAGGUUG
rnacentral:misc_RNA from 1 species